rnacentral:rRNA from 1 species
UUGAAUACUAUCUGUCUUGAAUGCUGUGGAGGUAAGCGGAAUAUGUCAUGUAGCGGUGAAAUGCUUAGAUAUGACAUAGAACACCUAUUGCGAAGGCAGCUUGCUACACAGAAAUUGACGCUGAGGCACGAAAGCGUGGGGAUCAAACAGGAUUAGAUACCCUGGUUAUCCAAGCCCUAAACGAUGGAUACUCGACAUCAGCGAUACACUGUUGGGUGUUCUGGAAGCGAAAGCAUUAAGUAUCCCAACCUGGGAAAGUACGACCGGAAGGUGAAACUCAAAGGAAAUUGGGGGGGCCCCGCACAAGCGGUGGAAGCAUGGUGGUUAAUUCGAUGGAUACGCGAGGAACUUACCUGGGCUAGAUUCUGGGAGAUUGUAGUUGAAAGCUCAUUUGUUGCCAUUCACUGCAGUAAGGUGCUCAUUGGUUGUCGUCAGCUCUUGCCGUGAGGUGUUGGGGUAAG